AAAGUCGUAACAAGGUCUCCGUAGGUGAACCUGCGGAGGGAUCAUUACAGAGUUCGCGCCCUCGCGGGUAGAUCUCCCACCCUGUGUUAUACAACCGCUUGUUGCUUUGGCGGGCCGCUGGGCUCGACCCGGCCACCGGCUCCGGCUGGUGCGCGCCCGCCAGAGGCCCCCUAACUCUUGAUGUGAGUGAUGUCCGAGUACUAUACAAUAGUUAAAACUUUCAACAACGGAUCUCUUGGUUCUG
rnacentral:misc_RNA from 1 species